CCGAGUUGCACUCCCUAGGGAGACAUCUCCACCCAGUGAGAACACACUUGUUGCUUUGGCGGGCCGCGGCCUCCGCCGCCGGCUUCGGCUGGCGAGCGCCCGCCAGAGGCUUUUAAUUCUUAUCUUGCAUGAGUCUGAGCAAUUUAAAAUGCGAA
rnacentral:misc_RNA from 1 species